rnacentral:tRNA from 1 species
GGAGAAAUGGCCGAGUGGCUGAAGGCGGCAGAUUGCUAAUCUGUUGAAGGGGUGUAUGCCUCUUCCGAGGGUUCGAAUCCCUCUUUCUCCG